UACGUAGGGGGCAAGCGUUGUCCGGAUUAUUGGGCGUAAAGAGCGUGUAGGCGGCCAGGUAGGUGGGUUGUGAAAACUGGAGGCUCAACCUUCAGACGUCGACCCAAACCCCCUGGCUAAAGUCCGGAAGAGGCGAGUGGAAUUCCUGGUGUAGCGGUGAAAUGCGCAGAUAUCAGGAGGAACACCAAUGGCGAAGGCAGCUCGCUGGGACGGUACUGACGCUGAGACGCGAAAGCUAGGGGAGCAAACGGG
rnacentral:rRNA from 1 species